rnacentral:rRNA from 1 species
CCCGGUUGAUCCUGGCAGAGGUUACUGCUAUCGGUGUUCGCCUAAGCCAUGCGAGUCAUAUGUAGCAAUACAUGGCGUACUGCUCAGUAACACGUGGAUAACCUGCCCUUGGGACCGGCAUAACCCCGGGAAACUGGGGAUAAUUCCGGAUAACGCACAUAUGCUGGAAUGCUUUAUGCGUAAAAUGGAUUCGUCCGCCCAAGGAUGGGUCUGCGGCCUAUCAGGUAGUAGUGGGUGUAAUGUACCUACUAGCCAACAACGGGUACGGGUUGUGAGAGCAAGAGCCCGGAGAUGGAUUCUGAGACAUGAAUCCAGGCCCUACGGGGCGCAGCAGGCGCGAAAACUUUACAAUGCGGGAAACCGUGAUAAGGGGACACCGAGUGCUAGCAUCAUAUGCUGGCUGUCCAGGUGUGUAAAAUACACCUGUUAGCAAGGGCCGGGCAAGACCGGUGCCAGCCGCCGCGGUAACACCGGCGGCCCGAGUGGUGAUCGUGAUUAUUGGGUCUAAAGGGUCCGUAGCCGGUUUGGUCAGUCCUCCGGGAAAUCUGAUAGCUUAACUAUUAGGCUUUCGGGGGAUACUGCCAGACUUGGAACCGGGAGAGGUAAGAGGUACUACAGGGGUAGGAGUGAAAUCUUGUAAUCCCUGUGGGACCACCUGUGGCGAAGGCGUCUUACCAGAACGGGUUCGACGGUGAGGGACGAAAGCUGGGGGCACGAACCGGAUUAGAUACCCGGGUAGUCCCAGCCGUAAACGAUGCUCGCUAGGUGUCAGGCAUGGCGCGACCGUGUCUGGUGCCGCAGGGAAGCCGUGAAGCGAGCCACCUGGGAAGUACGGCCGCAAGGCUGAAACUUAAAGGAAUUGGCGGGGGAGCACAACAACGGGUGGAGCCUGCGGUUUAAUUGGACUCAACGCCGGACAACUCACCGGGGACGACAGCAAAAUGUAGGCCAGGCUGAAGACCUUGCCUGAAUCGCUGAGAGGAGGUGCAUGGCCGUCGCCAGUUCGUACUGUGAAGCAUCCUGUUAAGUCAGGCAACGAGCGAGACCCA